GGCAGCAUGAACUUAGCUUGCUAAGUUUGAUGGCGACCGGCGCACGGGUGAGUAACACGUAUCCAACCUGCCGAUGACUCGGGGAUAGCCUUUCGAAAGAAAGAUUAAUACCCGAUGGCAUAGUUCUUCCGCAUGGUAGAACUAUUAAAGAAUUUCGGUCAUCGAUGGGGAUGCGUUCCAUUAGGUUGUUGGCGGGGUAACGGCCCACCAAGCCUUCGAUGGAUAGGGGUUCUGAGAGGAAGGUCCCCCACAUUGGAACUGAGACACGGUCCAAACUCCUACGGGAGACAGCAGUGAGGAAUAUUGGUCAAUGGACGAGAGUCUGAACCAGCCAAGUAGCGUGAAGGAUGACUGCCCUAUGGGUUGUAAACUUCUUUUAUACGGGAAUAAAGUGAGGCACGUGUGCCUUUUUGUAUGUACCGUAUGAAUAAGGAUCGGCUAACUCCGUGCCAGCAGCCGCGGUAAUACGGAGGAUCCGAGCGUUAUCCGGAUUUAUUGGGUUUAAAGGGAGCGUAGGCGGACGCUUAAGUCAGUUGUGAAAGUUUGCGGCUCAACCGUAAAAUUGCAGUUGAUACUGGGUGUCUUGAGUACAGUAGAGGCAGGCGGAAUUCGUGGUGUAGCGGUGAAAUGCUUAGAUAUCACGAAGACUCCGAUUGCGAAGGCAGCUUGCUGGACUGUAA
rnacentral:rRNA from 1 species